UACGUAGGGGGCGAGCGUUGUCCGGAGUUACUGGGCGUAAAGGGCAUGCAGGCGGUCGGACGCGUUUUGUGUGACAGCGGGUGGCUUAACUACCCGAGCAUGCGAAAGACGGUUGGACUUGAGGGCUCGAGAGGGACACGGAAUUCCGGGUGGAGUGGUGAAAUGCGUAGAUAUCUCUAAGAACACCAGUUGCGAAGGCGGCUGGCUGGGUCCACAUUGACGCUGAGGCUCGAAAGCGUGGGGAGCAAACAGG
rnacentral:rRNA from 1 species